GGGAGGCACAGCCUUGUUAACCUCAGAAGAAGAAAAUGAAUGAAGUGAAGCUCAUGAAUGACCCGAGAGGAGGAAGGAGCUGCUCUCCCAGAGCACCGGCUGACAGCACGCUGAGAGGUGAUGCUUUGCCAUGUACUGCAAGAACAGGUCUGGUGAAAUUCCCACAUGCAGUCUUUAUUCUGCUCUCUUAAAUGAUCGUCUCCUUUUAAUCACCAGCUAGAGAAUUAACCUGCCGAACAAAGGCACUUUCAGCAUUUUACAUAUUCAGCAGCGUAAUAAAAGACAAACUUAUGCUAAAACAUCAAAAAUUCUGUGAAACCAAAGGAGAGACAAAGAAAUUCUUGGGGUGGGGCGGGGGGGAGGGAAGUGUUGCUGUGAAACGCAGCAAUGCACAAAACUUUGAGUGCCCACCUGCGCCACGUCCCAUCCACACCUCAACCAGAACAGCAAUUUAUCACCGCGUCGCUUCGUUGCUUUAUUAGCCAUAAACACAGCAAUGGCCCACGCCUAUAAAAAGCAGGUCGAAAGGGGGUAAUUAAAGCAGAAUAAUUGACCAGCUUCAGGCUGCAGCAGGGAGCGGGGUGUCAAUCUGGUACUUUUAUUAACGCGAGCGCCUCGUGACAAUGAAGGGAACGGUGGAGUUUGGAGGGGGGCUCAGUACAAAACCACUGCGGAGCCGAAUCCAGGAGCCUGAGCUCUUUAAUCUCACCCUGCUUGGUUGCGAAGGUCCCCGGAGAGGUUGGUGUUUGUAGAUUAAUCAGCAGCAUCCAUUCGGUGAGGGCUCCCCUUCUCUGCACGCCUGAGCAAGGUCACCGUGUGGUGCCGGUAACGCACCAAUGCGCCGCAGCAGCCUCAGUUUGCUCAUUAGUAUUCUGCACGUUGCAUGGGUUAAAUUUGCUGUUUCAUUAAGAAGGCUCCUGUUUGCAUUUUCCUUCCGUAUCGUGGGCCUCAUCAGAAGAAACAGGUGCUACUGGUAGAGAUCCAAUAAGCGUUUAUACAUAUUUACAGCAAAUACUGGACACAGCCCUAUGCUUAAAAUCCUGAAUAUUCAAUGAGCAGCUAUUUCUUUGCAUUACAAUAGAAAGAAAGAGGAAAGAAAGGCUAAUUUGGAAUUAAGGGCUGUAAAUAUUUGUGGAAAAUGAGGGGUAAAAAUCACAGUGUGAAUGGAUAGAGGAGAGUGGCACAGAUGCACUCCAAGCCUGGACCUGGAGCAGGCUCCCAGUGUCUGGGUAAAUAUAAAGCCCAAUCACUACCUUCAUUUAUUCCAGUUGCCCAGUAUACCACGGUGCUGAUGACUCAAUGCACCUGACGAUGUCCAGAGUACCCCACAAGCUUGCUUUCCUCCACGGCUUCUACUCCACAAACCCAAGGUGCAGACACAGCUACCAUGAUGAUGGAAACAACCCACCCUGAGUCCUGCAGCACAGGGUGCAGCCAAAGAUCUUCCUCUUUUUAUUUUUGUUAAUAAUUACCAAGGUCCUUCCUUCCUACGUCAGUUUCUAGGUCUAAUUCAUCCUGAGCCCAGCCCUGUGCCAUCGUGGCCAUUAGCCAUUUUUGCUUUCAAUUGCCUAUUCCAAACAUUAAUGUGUGCCCGUGUUCUCAUGGAGGCUGUUAAAAGGUACACUCUUGAAGUUCCCAGGCUCUCGUAAUAACACAGAAAAAUGUCACUCUUUACACCAGCUACUCUGGUGCUACAAUUACCCAUUGACUGGCUUGGCUUUAACGUUGGAUCACUACCCGGUAUUUGAAAUAUUCAGUUAAAGGCAGAUAUAAAUAAAUAAAUAAUCUGCUCCCAUCAGGAAACAGAGAGAGAGAGAAAGCCCCAGAGUCUCCAAGCACUCCUCACAAAGAGUCCCUUAAAACCCUUCUAUGAAAAAAAAAAAAAAAGAAAAAAAAAAAAAGAGAGAGAAAGAAAAUAAAGGAAACCCAGCUAAUAACACUUUUCCACAUAAAUAAUGUAGAUUGUAACUGGCCUUUGCAGAAGCCUGAGCCCAACAGAGGUCCCUUUGUAAGGCUGAGCGCUGAUUGCGUACUGCUGGGCGCUUUCAUGAUGAUAGCUUUUCAGACGACGGCAUUGCAGCGCACUUAAAAUUAAUAAGCCAGGCUGCCUGCUCCCAGCAGCCCUGCCCAGAGGUGGACAUCACCCCAGCACAUGUCAAUCAGAAGGGCUGUGGUCCUUCCCCAGUGACAUUUCUGGGGCUUGCAGGCUACCUGCACCACUUCAAGCCUGUGCUGAAGUUUGCCCCUACAACAAUAAUAAGGGAUUAGAUGGCACAGCCACCUGCAGUGGGAGGAGAGGGGAUUUGCCACCCCUGCUCCCAUCCUUAAUGAAGCACUGCGAUAAGCCCUAAUGCAUACAUAUCCUUGGGAGAGGAGGUUGCUGUAAAGCCUCUUGCAAGGUCUGUAGUGCCGAGGGCGGCUGUGUCAGCCUGCAGAGUGCUUGGAAAAAACACCCUUCGAAAUAUAACAGUGCUCCCUGUUCUCUCUCCUCAUACAUUAACACUUGCAAAUAGUCCAUAAAUAGACCUUUUCCUUUUCUCAGUGGGAAAAUGUGGAUGCAAAGCAGCACCUCUCGGUCUUGCUGGGCGCCCAAGCAGCUUCCGCUACAUCUUCCAGUCUGGUCAUCCAGUAUUUGGGGGUGCUGGGGGUUCUCUGCAAAGAAAGACACUGAGGCUCUGGAGUGUGUACAAAGAAGGGCAAUGAAGCUGUGAAGAGUCAGGAGCACACGUCUUAUGGGGAGCAGCUGAGGGAACUGGGAUUGUUCCAUUUGGAGAAAAGGAGGCUUGGGGGAUACCUUAUUGCUCUCUACAACACCCUGAAAGGAGGUUGUGAUGAGGUGGGGGUUGGCUUUUACUCCCAGAUAACAGUGAUAGGACGAGAGAGAAUGACCUUAAACCGUGUCAGGGGAGGUUCAGGUUGGAUAUCAGGAAACAUUUCU
ensembl:lncRNA